rnacentral:rRNA from 1 species
AACUCGGCAAAAUGACCCCGUAACUUCGGGAUAAGGGGUGCCUACGCGAGUAGGCCGCAGAGAAUAGUCUCAAGCGACUGUUUAGCAAAAACACAGGUCUAUGCUAAAUCGAAAGAUGAUGUAUAUGGGCUGACGCCUGCCCGGUGCUGGAAGGUUAAGGGGAAGUGUUAGAGCAAUCGAAGCACUGAACUUAAGCCCCAGUAAACGGCGGCCGUAACUAUAACGGUCCUAAGGUAGCGAAAUUCCUUGUCAGGUAAGUUCUGACCCGCACGAAUGGCGUAACGACUUGAGAGCUGUCUCAACAACAUACCCGGCGAAAUUGAAGUACUGGUAAAGAUGCCAGUUACCCGUGAUAAGACGGAAAGACCCCAUGGAGCUUUACUGUAACUUGAUAUUGAAUUUUUGUAUUACAUGUACAGGAUAGGUGGGAGACAGAGAACUAAUGCCGCCAGGUGUUAGGGAGUCGAUGUUGGGAUACCACUCUUGUAAUAUGAAGGUUCUAACCUGCACCCGUGAAUCCGGGUGGGGGACACUGUCAGGUGGACAGUUUGACUGGGGCGGUCGCCUCCUAAAAGGUAACGGAGGCGCUCAAAGGUUCGUUCAGCACGGACGGAAAUCGUGCAACGAGUGCAAACGCAUAAACCAGCCUAACUGCGAGACCGACAAGUCGAGCAGUAACGAAAGUUGGAGUUAGUGAUCCGGCGGUAUGAGAGUGGAAUUGCCGUCGCUCAACGGAUAAAAGCUACCCUGGGGAUAACAGGCUGAUCUCCCCCAAGAGUCCACAUCGACGGGGAGGUUUGGCACCUCGAUGUCGGCUCAUCGCAUCCUGGAGCUGUAGUCGGUUCCAAGGGUUGGGCUGUUCGCCCAUUAAAGCGGUACGCGAGCUGGGUUCAGAACGUCGCGAGACAGUUCGGUCCCUAUCUAUCACGGGCGUAGGAAAUUUGAGGAGAGCUGACCUUAGUACGAGAGGACCGGGUUGGACGUACCGCUGGUGCACCUGUUGUUCUGCCAAGGGCAUAGCAGGGUAGCUAAGUACGGACGGGAUAAACGCUGAAGGCAUCUAAGCGUGAAGCCCCCUUCGAGAUAAGAUUUCCCAUAGCGUAGGCUAGUAAGGACCCAUGAAGACUACAUGGUUGAUAGGUCGGAGGUGGAAGUGCAGUAAUGUAUGUAGCUGACCGGUACUAAUAGUCCGAGGGCUUGACCAA